CGCACAGCGACGUGUCAAAGCCAACAACCAAACUUAUUCAAAUGGUUAAUAUCUACACGCCACCGCCCGCAGGAAAAGGGUGACAGCUCUUCACCCACGUAGUUUAUACGAUUGCCGUUGAUAUCCCUUAAAAGUCGUCCAUCUCAACCGUUCAAGCUUUCAAACCUCAUCUAUAAGUUAGGUUCUCCACUUCUUCCUACCAUUCAUCCAUUCACUUUCGUCCCUGCCUCCUUGGCCUCUCUUUCUUCUAGAUUCACUGUCGAUCCAAUUCUUCGCAAAUGUUUCUCCGGAUCAGAUCUCUCCUCUUCCAGAGGCUGAGUUUAUGGCGGAGAUCAGCGAUCGUCUGCUGUGGGAGUCAUACCGGUCUCAGAUCUGACGUGGUGUUGCUUAUCGGUGGCUAGCUGUCCUUGUUUGGGGUCUCUGGUCAAAUCGGCUGAGAUCUGUGCCUGUUACUCCGGACGGAGGCUAAUCGCUUUCCUCAUAUUGAUAUUUAUUCUUUGUACGCGAUUGUUAAGCAAGUUCUUAGCGUUGUAAUCGCCAUAGAUUUCAUCGCGGUUGUUAGUAGUGUGCGUAAGAAAUCAGGAGGGGCCUGAUUUCAGGGAGCUCGAGUCAAUGAUUGAAUUUGUUGUCGACCUUUGCCAUGACAGGUGCGCUUGCAUGGCAGGUCACCCAAUCUCUUAAUAAAAGAUGCAAGUUUUUUGGUUUCGAGGGAAGACCGCACGGGGAUUUUUUUUUUCCCGGGGUCUCUCCUCUGGUGCGCCGUGUUCUGAUGGUUUUCUUUCCCCUUCUUUCCAUUGAUUUGGCCAUAGCAUCCAUCAUGAUGUGCUUGAUCUGAAUCUUACACAGACAAUCCGAGUCAGUAGCGUAGUAGCGUUUUCAGAUCUGCAUCAACUUCCGGGGAUUAAAGGUACACACAACAUUUAUUCAUCUACUUGAAUUACUUUUCAAAUUACACAAGUUUCUAUUCUUAGUUUCCCGAGAGAAAUACAUACUUCAAGUUAUUAUGUUAAAAUUACUUUUUGAAACGAAUUCGUCGAGAUCUGCCGACUGAAACUAGCGUUAUCUCAAACCAUGCUUCAUCAAUCUCAUGUUAACACGGCUAAGCCGGGAAAUUGUAUAUUUGUUUGCAACAUCUGAAAAUCAUUCGACUUUUUACUUAAAAGGGCUUUCAAGAUAGUACUGAAGGCCUUUGACUACGUCCAUUGGCCUGCUUUUGUUUAAAUAUUUGUGAUAACAGUGUUGAAACCAUUAAGAUAUUGCGAUCAUUGAGGCUUGCAUACGAUCAUCUUGUUCCGAUCUAGCUACAAAUAGUAAAUAAUUAUGUUAAAUAAUAGCUUAAAUUAGCUUUGACGGGUUCCAGAAGAAAUAUUUGGGUAAUUACCCGGAAUUUUUAUUGCAACAAAUUGUUGACCUUAAUACAAAAAAAAAAACAUCUGUUUAUUUGAAGUACUGUGGCAUGUGUAGCCCUGGAUUCGGUGUGAUUAUAUGUAACUCUGUAUAAUUUGGUGAGAUGUGUUGUAUUGUUCCCACUCCUGUGGUACUAGGAAGGAAUUUGUUUCACUUUAAUCGACGAGUCUCCGGAUCUCAUAACCCAAUUACGGAUUCUAAUCCUGGUAUGUCGGACAAGUUGGUUUCUUCUUACGGUUGAUCAAGAACUUGGUGACUCGUGGAGGAGAAUUUUGCUGUUCAAGAGUUUUCUGGAGAAAGACGGCCGCUGUCUUGAGUGGCAAGUCUGUGACAUUGUCAAUUUUACCGAUCAGAUCGAUGGCUGGUCGUUUGAGGUGACAAGUCUGUGAUCAAUGAUCGUAUCACAUAUUAUUUUAUGUUUUAUGCUUUUUCCCCUGUUGUCCAUCUUCAUUGUGGCGUGGGUUUUAAUGCUUUGCAACAGUUAUUUGCUUUGGUAUCUUUGACCUGCUUAGUAUGUAUGUUAUUUUUCUGUGAAAGAUAUAUUGGAGCACUAAUAAUGAGUAGUGAUCAAGUGAACA